GUAGAUUGAAUGCACACUUGUUUAUUUUUUACAUUCAUUUGAGGAACACCAAGUGUUUUGACAAUCUCACUUGUCUCCCUAUUGUGUCUCCCUUAGU